rnacentral:rRNA from 1 species
GAACGCGAAGAACCUUACCAAGACUUAAAUGGGAAUUGACAGCUUUAGAAAUAGAGCUUUCUUCGGACAAUUUUCAAGGUGCUGCAUGGUUGUCGUCAGCUCGUGCCGUGAGGUGUUAGGUUAAGUCCUGCAACGAGCGCAACCCCUGUCACUAGUUGCCAUCAUUCAGUUGGGGACUCUAGUGAGACUGCCUACGCAAGUAGAGAGGAAGGUGGGGAUGACGUCAAAUCAUCACGGCCCUUACGUCUUGGGCCACACACGUAAUACAAUGGCCGGUACAGAGGGCAGCUACACAGCGAUGUGAUGCAAAUCUCGAAAGCCGGUCUCAGUUCGGAUUGGAGUCUGCAACUCGACUCUAUGAAGCUGGAAUCGCUAGUAAUCGCGCAUCAGCCAUGGCGCGGUGAAUACGUUCCCGGGUCUUGUACACACC